UUACCGAGUGAGGGCCCUCUGGGUCCAACCUCCCACCCGUGUUUAUUUUACCUUGUUGCUUCGGCGGGCCCGCCUUAACUGGCCGCCGGGGGGCUUACGCCCCCGGGCCCGCGCCCGCCGAAGACACCCUCGAACUCUGUCUGAAGAUUGUAGUCUGAGUGAAAAUAUAAAUUAUUUAAAACUUUCAACAACGGAUCUCUUGGUUCCGGCAUCGAUGAAGAACGCAGCGAAAUGCGAUACGUAAUGUGAAUUGCAAAUUCAGUGAAUCAUCGAGUCUUUGAACGCACAUUGCGCCCCCUGGUAUUCCGGGGGGCAUGCCUGUCCGAGCGUCAUUUCUGCCCUCAAGCACGGCUUGUGUGUUGGGCCCCGUCCUCCGAUCCCGGGGGACGGGCCCGAAAGGCAGCGGCGGCACCGCGUCCGGUCCUCGAGCGUAUGGGGCUUUGUCACCCGCUCUGUAGGCCCGGCCGGCGCUUGCCGAUCAACCCAAAUUUUUAUCCAGGUUGACCUCGGAUCAGGUAGGGAUACCCGCUGAACUUAAGCAUAUCAAUAAGCGGAGGAAAAGAAACCAACAGGGAUUGCCCCAGUAACGGCGAGUGAAGCGGCAAGAGCUCAAAUUUGAAAGCUGGCUCCUUCGGGGUCCGCAUUGUAAUUUGUAGAGGAUGCUUCGGGAGCGGUCCCCAUCUAAGUGCCCUGGAACGGGACGUCAUAGAGGGUGAGAAUCCCGUAUGGGGAUGGGGUGUCCGCGCCCGUGUGAAGCU
rnacentral:rRNA from 1 species